rnacentral:tRNA from 4 species
GGGCGAUUGGUGAAGUGGCAUCAUAAUUCUCUCCAAAAGAACAGUCGAAGGUUCGAUUCCUUCAUCGCCCGCAA